GGAAGUAAAAGUCGUAACAAGGUCUCCGUUGGUGAACCAGCGGAGGGAUCAUUACCGAGUUUACAACUCCCAAACCCAAUGUGAACGUUACCAAACUGUUGCCUCGGCGGGAUCUCUGCCCCGGGUGCGUCGCAGCCCCGGACCAAGGCGCCCGCCGGAGGACCAACCAAAACUCUUAUUGUAUACCCCCUCGCGGGUUUUUUUAUAAUCUGAGCCUUCUCGGCGCCCCUCGUGGGCGUUUCGAAAAUGAAUCAAAACUUUCAACAACGGAUCUCUUGGUUCUGGCAUCGAUGAAGAACGCAGCGAAAUGCGAUAAGUAAUGUGAAUUGCAGAAUUCAGUGAAUCAUCGAAUCUUUGAACGCACAUUGCGCCCGCCAGUAUUCUGGCGGGCAUGCCUGUCCGAGCGUCAUUUCAACCCUCGAACCCCUCCGGGGGGUCGGCGUUGGGGAUCGGCCCUCCCUCUGCGGGGGCCGUCUCCGAAAUACAGUGGCGGUCUCGCCGCAGCCUCUCCUGCGCAGUAGUUUGCACACUCGCACCGGGAGCGCGGCGCGUCCACAGCCGUUAAACACCCAACUUUCUGAAAUGUUGACCUCGGAUCAGGUAGGAAUACCCGCUGGACUUAAGCAUAUCAAUAAGCGGAGGA
rnacentral:rRNA from 1 species